AAUCAACGCUGGCGGCGUGCCUCAGACAUGCAAGUCGAACGAUUAAAGCUCUCUUCGGAGAGUGUAUAGAGUGGCGCACGGGUGAGUAACACGUAAGUAAUCUACCCUCGAGUGGGGAAUAACAACCGGAAACGGUUGCUAAUACCGCAUAAUGCAGCGGCACCGCAAGGUGACAGUUGUUAAAGAUUUAUCGCUUGAGGAGGAGCUUGCGGCAGAUUAGCUAGUUGGUAGGGUAACGGCUUACCAAGGCUACGAUCUGUAACCGGUCUAAGAGGACGGUCGGUCACACUGACACUGAAUAACGGGUCAGACUCCUACGGGAGGCAGCAGUCGGGAAUUUUGGGCAAUGGGCGAAAGCCUGACCCAGCAACGCCGCGUGAAGGAUGAAGUAUUUCGGUAUGUAAACUUCGAAAGAAUAGGAAGAAUUAAUGACGGUACUAUUUAUAAGGUCCGGCUAA
rnacentral:rRNA from 1 species